AUGAACGCUGGCGGCGUGCCUAAUACAUGCAAGUCGCGCGAACGGACGAGAAGCUUGCUUCUCUGAUGUUAGCGGCGGACGGGUGAGUAACACGUGGAUAACCUACCUAUAAGACUGGGAUAACUUCGGGAAACCGGAGCUAAUACCGGAUAAUAUUUUGAACCGCAUGGUUCAAAAGUGAAAGACGGUCUUGCUGUCACUUAUAGAUGGAUCCGCGCUGCAUUAGCUAGUUGGUAAGGUAACGGCUUACCAAGGCAACGAUGCAUAGCCGACCUGAGAGGGUGAUAGGCCACACUGGAACUGAGACACGGUCCAGACUCCUACGGGAGGCAGCAGUAGGGAAUCUUCCGCAAUGGGCGAAAGCCUGACGGAGCAACGCCGCGUGAGUGAUGAAGGUCUUCGGAUCGUAAAACUCUGUUAUUAGGGAAGAACAUAUGUGUAAGUAACUGUGCACAUCUUGACGGUACCUAAUCAGAAAGCCACGGCUAACUACGUG
rnacentral:rRNA from 1 species